CCUACGGGAGGCAGCAGUGAGGAAUAUUGGUCAAUGGACGGAAGUCUGAACCAGCCAUGCCGCGUGCAGGAAGACGGCUCUAUGAGUUGUAAACUGCUUUUGUACAAGUGUAAACCUUAAUACGUGUAUUCAGCUGAAAGUACUUUACGAAACAGCAUCGACUAACUCCGUGCCAGCAGCCGCGGUCAUACGGAGGAUUCGAGCGUUAUCCGGAUUUAUUGGGUUUAAAGGGUGCGUAGGCGGACUGUUAAGUCAGCGGUAAAAGCCCGGGGUGCAACCCCGGCGAGCAGUUGAAACUGGCUGUCUUGAGAUGUCGAGAGGUAUGCGGAAUGCGGAGUGUAGCGGUGAAAUGCUUAGAUAUUGCGCAGAACUCCGAUUGCGAAGGCAACAUACCGGAGGCGAUCUGACGCUGAGGCACGAAAGCGUGGGUAUCGAACAGGAUUAGAUACCCCUGUAGUC
rnacentral:rRNA from 1 species